rnacentral:rRNA from 1 species
GCUUGUCUCAAAGAUUAAGCCAUGCAUGUCUCAGUACAAGCCAAAUUAAGGUGAAACCGCGAAAGGCUCAUUAAAUCAGUUAUGGUUCCUUAGAUCGUACCCACAAUUACUUGGAUAACUGUGGUAAUUCUAGAGCUAAUACAUGCAAACAGAGCUCCGACCGGAGACGGAAGGAGUGCUUUUAUUAGAUCAAAACCAAUCGGUGGCGGGUUCGCUCGUUAUCGUACAACUUGGUGACUCUGAAUAACUUUACGCUGAUCGCACGGUCAUCGCACCGGCGACGCAUCUUUCAAAUGUCUGCCUUAUCAACUGUCGAUGGUAGGUUCUGCGCCUACCAUGGUUGUAACGGGUAACGGGGAAUCAGGGUUCGAUUCCGGAGAGGGAGCCUGAGAAACGGCUACCACAUCCAAGGAAGGCAGCAGGCGCGCAAAUUACCCACUCCCGGCACGGGGAGGUAGUGACGAAAAAUAACGAUACGGGACUCAUCCGAGGCCCCGUAAUCGGAAUGA